rnacentral:misc_RNA from 1 species
GAUCUCCGCAUGAGCUGAGNNNAGAGACUCCGCCNUAACGUGAUCGAACGUCGUCCGCACGAAGCGUCGAACGCUUAUUAUUUCGGGGCAAAUAGAGGUCAAUGACCUCGUACCGUAUCGGUAUUCCGCAUCCGAGAGAACGAGCGCUACGAUGUGGGCCAACGAGUACGAGCUUUGUGAGCGCACGAAUCGUGGAUCACAUCGAGUGCUACGUUGUCCACCCUGCACUGCAUCCCGUAAGGGCACAGCACAAGGAGGAAAAGGGUCAUCGGGACAACAUCAUGCCUUCUCGAUAGGUAUACUACACAGGAAACCGACAUCGGUCAAGGCAACUCGCAACUUGAACCAACAAUUGAAGAGGCUUGCACGAGAUACCGUCGCUGCCCGAGCAGGGAACCGGUAUGCCCAUACAAGCCAAUCACCACUCACGCGCUAA